UAAAUGGAGUGUACUUUGAGCGAUAAAAGAAAAAAUUAAUUAAACACAGAUUAUUAAACAAAACUCAAUAAAAGUAUUAAUUGAUUGUAAAAUUACAAGAACAAUUUGUAAAAACUAUAAGUCUAUCUACACAACCUUCAGAAGUCUCGAAAAAGUAUUAAUUGACAUGUAAAAGAAGUUAUACGCUAAAAAGUUUUGGUUCACGUUAGGAACAUUGGACACAUUAAAUAUAUUUGUUUUGAUGAAGAAAUUGGAUUUUAGACGAGGUAUAGGAUAGGCCACAAGUUUUUGUAAAAGAAAAACGUUAUCUUGAGAUUUGUAAAAGUUUAUUGAUCGUCGUUGCUUUCUCGUGGAACGCAUUAAUUUGAUCGUUGCGAACGAACUUAAGAGCUAAGCGUUUAAAGUUAGGAAAACUGCGUUAACUCGAUGAUUAUUCGUCACUUUUAUAAUUUCCCCUUAUUUAUUAUAUUUUUCGUUGAACUUUAAUUAAAACGAUCGGAUCGUUCGCUCGAUCGUUUUACGCACGGGAAUUACACGCAGAUCCGCUUUAUUUCGUAACGCGUACGAGAAAAACUCGCUUGCAGGAUAAAUUACUUCGGCCUUUUGUCAGGCUAACAAUAAUCCUGUGCGAUAACAACGCAUUUUAACAACGCGCGAGUGCGCCUCUCGGUCGAACGAGAAUGCGAUGAGAUUUUUAUAAACUCUAUGAAUGCUUCUUCAAUUGUUAAAUAUUGUAUACACGUAAAAAAGAAAAAAAGAAAAGAAAGAAAAGAA